GACGAAGGGGGGCUAGCGUUGUUCGGAAUUACUGGGCGUAAAGCGCGUGUAGGUGGUUGUCCAAGUUGGAUGUGAAAGCCUUGAGCUCAACUCAAGAAAUGCAUUCAGGACUGGGCGACUAGAGGACCGGAGAGGAUAGUGGAAUUCCCAGUGUAGUGGUGAAAAUACGUAGAGAUUGGGAAGAACACCAGUGGCGAAGGCGGCUAUCUGGACGGUUUCUGACACUAAGACGCGAAAGCGUGGGGAGCAAACAGG
rnacentral:rRNA from 1 species